rnacentral:tRNA from 5 species
GGUUCUGUAGUGUAAUGGCUAGCACCCGGGAUUCUGAUUCCCGUAAUCUGGGUUCGACUCCCAGCAGGACCU